UUCUCCUUAUGCAGAUGUCCUGGCUCUCAACAAAGGCACCAGGCAGGAUUGUUUUUUUCUCUUGCAUUCCCAUAAGCCUGACUUCCUGAUGUCCACUACACUCUGUUCUCAAUCUUCUCCAGUCUUUUGCAAACUGUGAUGUUCAGAUGUCCUAUAAGCCUGACUUCCUGAUGUCCACUACACUCCGUUCUCAACCUUCUCCGGUAUUCUGCAAACUGUGAAUGCCUCCUUGUGUUGGAUUCAUGAUGUUCACCAUACUGCACGGCCUACUUUUUUCU